GCUGGGCGCAGUGGCGCGUGCCUGUAGUCCCAGCUACUCGGAAGGCUGAGGUGGGAGGAUCACUUCAGCCCAGGAGUUCUGGGAUAUCGUGCAUUAUGCCAAUUGGGUGUCCGCACUAAGUUUGGCAUCAAUAUGGUGACCUCCUGGGAAUGGGGGACUAUCAGGUUGCCUAAGGAGGGGUGAACCGGCCCAGGUGGGAAACAGAGCAAGUCAAAACUUUGUGCUGAUCCACAGUGGGACUGCACCUGUGAAUAGCCACUGCACUCCAGCCUGGGCAACAUAGCGAGACACCGUCUUUU
rfam:Callithrix jacchus chromosome X, whole genome shotgun sequence